CAACAAUAGACACAAGGUGAGGAGAGGCACAUCCAUCAGAGCUGGCACUGGAUAGUCUCUGGGUCUCCAGGAGCCUGCUUGCCAUCUCGCCCGAGGGCGCAGUGGCUUCUGUUGGAACACUCAGCGAUGGGUGGCUGGGAAUUAGACCCCCACCAGUCACUACCCAGGCAUCCAGGAGCUUUGAAGAACCCUCCAGGCCAGUGAGAUCAGAGUGAAUGAUGUCCAUCGGCAUGCACGGAGUUACUGUCGGCUGAUCAGCAUCACACGGCAUCACAAGCCUCCAGCGCUCCAGAGAAAACAACCCAAGUUUGUCCAGCCUCUAACAAUGCCACACUUUCAGAGGUACAGAUGAGAGACUGAACUGAGACCCCACCUGCUCUGUUAUCUGGAUGCAAACAAUCCCACGGUAAUGCUCAAGGAGAAAGUGAGUCAUUCCGGUAUCCUAGCCAGUAUCCUGUCUUCAACCAACAUCAAUCAAACAGAUUUCUUACUUCACGUGGGAGUUAGCACUGUGGUUGCUCUGUUGCCUACGUUACAGCAGUGACCACUCUUCAGAAGUCCUACAUUGGCUGCAGUGAUGCUUUGGGAGCUCCUGAGUUUGUAAAAGGCAAGGGACACUGGCCGACCUAGAGCGCGGACUUGACUCCACACACAUUUGCCUGCAGGGAGACAAGGAGCGCAGCCAAAUCAGAGUCUGUCACCAACAGUGGAGAUCACUUGCUGCAAUGAAAGGUGUUUUGAGGAGCCAUUUCCCCUCUGCCCAGCUGGAAGUAGCUACUCCUUCAGGAUGCACGGUGAAGUUCAGACCAGCAGUCUCCAUCCCCAGUUACAGUGCUGAUGGGCAGAACAUUCCACCUUCCUUCGAUGGUACAAACCAACAGGCUCAAGGACAGCUUCUAUCCCACUGUUAGAAGACCACUGAAUGCUCCCCAAAAUUGUCUGCCUGCACUUCACUUUCUCUGUAGCUGUGACACUUCUUUCUGCACUCUGUUAUUGUUUUCCCUUGUACUACCUCAGUGCACUGAUGUGAUGAAAUGAUCUGUAUGGGUGGCACACAAAACAAAGUUUUUCGCUGUACCUCAGUACAUAUAACAAUAAUAAACCAAUUUACCUAUCUCCA